UGUCAAUUGGACACACUGUCCAUUGGUUACCGAUGUCCAAGCCCAUUUGGACUAACCAAAUUAGACCAAUAAAUAAAGCUUUCCAGUUGGUCGAAACCCAAUAAACUCCAAAUCCAAUGGGCUUAAACCAAAUGGACAUGGGCGGCCCAAUGUAUAAAAAAUUCUAGGGUUUCCAAUGGAAAUCACUCUCUUUUUUCGGCUCUCGUCUCUGCGACUCGUGAGUCACAGCGACUCUCAUCUCUGAUUCCCGUUCUGUCUCGAUGAAGUCGACUCACGGCGACUCUCCGUUCUCUCUCCCCUCGGCGUCUUAAUCCUCUCUCUCUCUCUCUCGCAAGUCGCGACUCUGAUUGUGUACAGCUUCUCAGUGACUCUCUCUCUCUCUCGGCGUCUCGAUCCGCCUCUCUCUCUCUCGGCGUCUCGAUCAUCUCUCUCUCUUUCUCGCGAGUCGUGACUCUCGAUCCGAUCUGCCUCUCUCGUAUGUCUCUUCUCUCUGUCGCUCUGUGUAAACUGAUUGUGCAUGUUGAUGAAUUUUCUCUUCUCUGAUUGUGUACAGCUUCUCAGUGACUCUCUCUCUCUCUCUCGGCGUCUCGAUCCGCCUCUCUCUCUCUCGGCGUCUCGAUCAUCUCUCUCUCUCUCGGCGUCUCGAUCAUCUCUCUCUCUCUCUCGGCGUCUCGAUCAUCUCUCUCUCUCGGCGUCUCGGUAUGAUGGGUUUCUCUGAUUUGUUUCUCUGAUGCGUUUGAUUCAGUUUAGUUUUGAUGGGUUUCUCUAUAUAGCUUGCGUUUGUAUAUAGCUUGAUGGGUUUCUCUGAUUUGUUUGAUGGGUUUCUCUAUAUAGCUUGCGUUUGUAUAUAGCUUGAUGGGUUUCAUCUGUUUAUUUGGUUUCUGAUUGUUACAUCUCUGAUUGUGAAGUUGUAUGGAGUAUACAAGAAGAAUAGUAGUGCUCAUAGUUCACAAGAAGUAGAAGAAGAUGCUCUACCAGCUGUUUAUGGUGUAAGUCAUUUAAAACCAAUGCUUUAGAUGUGUAUUUAAGUUAUCUGCCAGAAACUGAUGCUUUAAUAAUCUCUUUCUUUGUAGGGCUUCUAUGCGUUCUUCUCUCAACAAGCAGGAACAAGGAAAUCUGCUUUGAAUUUGUAUCUGAGUGAACUUGUGCUUGAUAUGAUGUCAAAUUUAAAGUUAGAUGUCCUUGAGUAUUGGAGGGACAACGCAAACCGUUUUAAGGAGCUCUCUAGAAUGGCAAGCGAUGUCCUAUCCAUCCCAAUAACAACGGUAUCAUCAGAGUCAUCAUUCAGUGCCGGAAGUAAGGUUCUCAGCAAAUACAGGAACAGACUUCUCUCUUCAAAUGUUCAAGCUUUAAUCUGCACUAGAAACUGGCUCAGAGGUUUUGAAGUGAUUGCUGGAUGCGAUUUAGAUGAGGAAGGUAAAGAAGAUAAGCAAGAUACCAAUGUGGAAGCAGAAGGAAGUGGAAGGAAGAAGAGGACCCGACUCAACUAAACCCUAAAGGAGAAGCUGAGAAGAUAAAGAAGAGAAGGGCAAUCAAAACUUAUGCUUUGGAUUUUUUAUUUUUAUGUAUGAACCAUUAUGUAUGAACUAAUAUAUGAAUUUUCUAUGCUUUGGAUAUGUAAAACUUAUGAAACUUAAUGUGUAAAACUUGAAAUUUAUGUUUUU